AAAUUGAACCAGUAAAAACUUUAUUUAUCUUCUAUUUGCAUCCAAUAAUUAGUUUGCUCAAAAGAAAAUAAGUUGGAAUGUAAACAAAAAAAGAAGAAGUGGGAAAGUGGGAUAUUCCAUCACAAGGUGGACUCCAAGACGGUAGCGCCCCUUCUGCCAAUCCACUCUCUACCCAACAUUUUUUUCUUGUUAAUAUUAUAUCUUAUGCCCAUUAAACCAAUCCAGAAAAUUAACAUUUUGUCACAAGUAUAAAGCAUACAUUAUAUAAUUUAUUUAUUUAUUUUAUAUACACACACACUUCUCUUGUAUAUUCACACAAAGAUGUAUGCUUUCUCUUUGUCUCUCCUCUCUCCUCUCUCUCCAUCUCUCUGUUUUAGAUCUCAUCAGGUCUUCUCUGCUUAGUAUUUGGCUUCCACGAUCUGGUAACAUGUAAUAUAUACGUCAUACUUUUUUUUGCAAAUCAAAAUUUGUGUUGUUUUGUUUCAUUUUACUGUUUUAGCUGUAUAUAAUACCAAGUUCAGACUUCAGAGUAUUCAAGAUUUUUCAUUCUCCUCUCUCUCUUAGGGUUUCGCUUCUUCUGUUUUUUUUUUCUUUUUUUGGUCUGGUUCCAAUUAAGUAGAAGAGAGUAAAAUAGACGUAAUUACUUUACAUCUCAUCCAAUCAUAACAAGCCAUCUCAACUAUUCCACAAUCUUUAUCCUCCUAUAUAUACAUAUAUAUACAGAUAUAUAGUAUAUACGAUUUGCAGGGUCUAUAAAUAAGGAGGCUAAGUAUUAACUAUUUAGAGAAAUAUGUCAGUGUUAGUCAUCAAGUUUGAGUUUGUGAGGCAAAAGAUUACGUACGAGAAGACUGUUAGACGAAACUGAAGACUAAUUUCCGGAGCCACGGUCGUUGUUUGCUGCUGUGGCAUCAUCAAGAUUCACAUCCGUUGAUGGACGGUGGUGGUUCACUCUACCCAAAGUUCUCUUGUGAAAAUGGGAAUCUUGAUGAUGCUGCAUCGGUAAUCAACGGCUAUCCUUUUCCUCUCUCUUUUUAUUAAAUUAGUUUUUAAUCGAUCCAGAUCUUCUUCAGGUAGGUCUUGUCUGCUUGAAUUCUUUUUUUGCUUUAUUCUUUUUUAUGUUAACCUAUUCUCUCCACAUAUAGCUUUUUGAUACAUAAAGAUCUGACCAGAAUCUCAAGUUUUUCGCAGUAAUUUUCAUCUUGCGCUUCCUUUCACACAAUAUACGAGUGGAUCCACGAGUUUUCUUCUAUCCAUAGGUGAACAAGAGUCAUAUCACCAAUUGAUCUAAUUAAGCUGCUCUGUUCGGUAAAAGUUGUUGUGGAAAAGCUUCUUUGAAGCGCAUGAAGCUGUUUCUUCUUAUCAUGACCAGAUCCCCUCUGGUGUGAUGAUGGAGGUCCGGAUCUGUUCGAUCGACGGUCGUGGCUAGCCCUCUUGUCUUCUGGUUAUCACUGUUCCUGUUUUGUUCUCCUUGUUUCUCGGCUUUCUUAGAUGUGUUGGUCAAAUGUGCUCUUGUUAUAUCUGGGCUGUGUUAUCUCAAUCCGUACUAUGCUGUACGGUAGAUCCCUCUUUUUUUUAAGGAUAUUGCCAUGCUUCUGGCUACGAUUCUUCUGCAUGGUUUAGCUGCGUUCUACUCAAGCCACUAUUGUGGAUAACAGAAGAGCAAGCAGUGUGAAGUAAAAUUUACUCUAGACAUGGUUUUGAUCGAUGUUUUGCAGCAAAAGAAUCCAAAAAUAGUCCUUCCAGGUCAUUUUGGACUGCAUCAGUUCUAGAUGGAGAUUCACUCAUCUUUUCCAGAGGAUGCCAUGUUUUGUUUUCAAAUUAUCGUCAUCUGUGUUGCUGCCCGUCUUCACCGUUUGUUGUGCGUGAAUUCCUCUUGACGAUCUUUAGAAAAGCUUGGAUUCUUAGCAUAGUAUUAGCAAUGGAUGUUGGUAUAAUUUCAAUUUCUGUGUUAGGAUUGGAAAAGAUCAUUGUACUCACUUUGUGGUUCAAUUCUAGUUUGUAAUCCUUUGACAAAAAAAAAAGAUACACUGUCAAUUCUUUUUUUUUUUGUUGGUUGGUGUUAGCUAAUACAUUCAAACUGAGAAUCAAAAAGGAACUUGUUGGUGGACCUUACUCAUUGUAGAUCGAUUAGGCAUAUUCAGCCCCACCUAUUUUGUCCCCUCUAUUUACAUACUUAGAUGUUCUUCUACAUAUGCAAAAUGGAGCAAAACUACUUUCAUUUUUUUUGCUUAUUUUUAAUAUGAUAAUACUAAGGUUGCCUAGUAUAAUCUUUAUCAUCAUACAUAUAUCUAUAUAUUGAUGAAUUCGAUUCAGACAAAACCAAUCCAUCGAAAUGAGUUUGUGGUUUUUACUAAGAGGAAAAAUCAGCUGUAGAAACAUGGCAUAUUUAUUGUCCAAAUCAAACUCUAAAUAAUCGUCCUCUUUUUUUUUUCGGUUUAAAACGUAGUACAUGUAAUUAUGUGUUUAGUAAUGUAUUAGUUAUGUCAUGGAGAUUUUGUGUCUCCCUCGGCACACAUUUAGUUAUUCGAAAAAUAAAUAAUAUCAUUUGAGGCAUAUCUAUCAUUAUAAAUCAAAUGGUUUGGAACAUGCCAGAGCUUUAGAACGGAUUGCAAGGAUAUAAUUGCCAUGAUUAAAGAAUUUCAUGUUUGGCCAAGCUUUGUAACAUAAUUAGAGAGGAUAGAGACUCUGUAGAUAUGCUUCUCGGAUUUCAAUCCACGAGCGCAAAAUCAUAUUUUUGAUUCUCUAGCUAGAAUUGCGCGGUCUUUCAAUAAAAAACUUUAUUUUAUUGGUUGUUCUAUUCCGGUCUGGUUAUCCAGACCACAUCAAGUUUGAGUAAUAGAACAACCGUUCGUUGUAAAAAAAAAAUCAAAUGGUUUUUGAUAAAUAGGAUGACCUAAUAAACUGCAUCCAGUUAUCACGGUACAUAAGUGUAGCGAAAUUAUUCUAUCUCAUUCUUGUAAUGCUCCAUGACCACCAUUUACAGAUUAUGAUGAUCUUUAAUAAGCCAGACAGACCAGUAUAUUUUCAUUAUCUUUUCUGUAUUAGCAAUUGAAAUUUUUUUUUAUGAAAUGUAUUAAUCUCCAUAGUCUUUUUACAUGCAUAUCCUAUGUAUUUGUUAGAACUACCAAGUGAGGAUAUAAGCUAUACAAGCAUGGUUGAGUUUAUGAUAUGUUUUAUUUGGAUAGUUUCAUGUGUUCUGGUUAUCUUCGCAUUGAUCUAAUAACUAUUAAUGCUAUUAGAACAUUUUAUGUACAAAUGCAAAGAAAAAAUUCAUUAGAAUCUGUACGCAUCUAGAUCCGACAAAAAUGAGAUGGUAUCUAAUGAAUGGCUUGAAGGGGUGAAUAUAUGUGUGUGGUCCAUUCCGAUUGAAACUAAACGCAACGCUGGGUAUGUGAGGACCAUUUCUUUAUACUGUGUACUUAUUAUUCCCAAUUUUCUCAAACUUUAGGCACUUAAUGUAUUCGUAUCACCAAAUUGGCCUUUUGUACACUAUUUAGAGUUUUACAUGAUAUAUUCUUUCGAGUAUUUUGUAUGGCUAGCAAUUUUUGAAAGUAAUAUCCACAAUUUUUGCAAAUUCAAACAGUUUGUUCGACAAAUAUAGCACUUUAAUGUCACAUUAUUACCUUUAGAUAUCAAUAGUAUAUGAUGAGACGGUUAAGUUUUUGAUUUGAGAAAUAUAUAUUACUGACUACACACUCUCUUUUGUAUUAUCUCUUUCUGAGUCAAAAUUUUCUAAAUAUAAUUAUAUGAUUGUUUCUCUUUCUAUUUCUAGCUCUGACGAUACUUUUUAAGUAUAAUAUAUUUUGGACCUGACUAUGGUGGAAAUGAUUAAAGUUACAAAAUUUAUAUUAUCAAUUAAUUAGUCUUGGAACAACUUUUUUCUGUAGACGUCCCUUCUGAACAUUUGGAGAAUAUGAGUGUGAUUGGGAAACUGAUCAUUUUAAUUCCCAAAGAAUUUGAAAUUGACAAAUAAAUUCCCCGAAUCUGCAUUGACUUUGCAAAAUUGAACUUUUGAAAAGUCCACGUUGAACGGUUAACGGAAAACGUUAAGUCUAAUUGUGUAGCCCUCUUUUAAUCUUGUUCGACUUUCAUGUCUUCUUCUUCCUCAAAUCAAGCAACAUAAACCCUAAAUUAUCCAUUUUUUUAGCUAUAGUAUAAAGGUAUUUUAGGAACUAUUUAUUAUGUUUUGGAGUCUUUUAAUAUAUUUACAGGCUCAUGAGUAUUUUAAAGAAAAAUGAUGAUUUGGAUGUAAUUUAGAGAUAAAAUAAGAGGAAACUCGUAGCUGACCAUCGAACCUGUCUAAGGGUUGACGAUCAGAGACAAACAUCGAUCAUGCAUGCCAUCGAUCGACAGUGAAGCGCGCAAAACCUAGCUAGGUUUCCAGCCGGCUUAAAUCCCAAGUCACGACAUAUUUACAUAAAUACUCAUGGCCGACUUUUAACCUAAUAUUUAUGUGUUCAACCAUUGUUCUAGGCAACACACGCUUUCAGCAAACAACACUUAAGAUUUUUAGUAGAUUUGGAGAGAAGAUUCAAGACUCCUUCAGAGAUUUGUACUGGAACUUCAGUAUUUCUAACUUUAAUCUGCAUUUUAUUCAGUUUAUGCUUUAUGAAUUGCUUUGCUAUGUCUGAGUAAUUCACUUGUUAGAUUUAGAGUUCAAAUAGGUUAAGAGAGAUUAGCCCAAAAUAUAGAAUUACUAAGGUGAUAAAUAUCCUUCAACGAAUUGUGAUUAACGGAUUUGUUCUAAAGUAGCUAACUAGAUACUUGAAACUUAAGAUUAUGGACAACUACGACGAUAGGUUCUGCACCAGAACUAAUUCCUUUGAGAUAGUAUUGCUAGAAACAAGGGGAAGCUGAUUUAGACAAUACUAGUUAACAUAUCAAUCAACUCGCUAACGCAUGUUUAAGAGAAUAUCAAUCGACGUUCUUACCAUAACAUCGAUCGACGUUCGAUCCGUAUCAACAAGUGACAGCUGAGAUAUUGGACCGUUCCCAAACUCAGACCAAUUUGCAAGUUGAAGAAGAUUCGGAUCCAAGCAUGGAUGGGCUUGUUCCUUACAAAAUUCCAGUGGAGAGGGAUAGGGAAAGGGAAAGGAGUCCUAAGAACAAACAAGUUGCCAUUGAUGGGAUGAAGCUGCCUGUGGAGGAGUGGUACUGUGGAUGCUUCAAUAGUCAGGCUAGCGGAAGUGGUACCGAUCAGGUCCAUCCGCCGAUGUUCAAUGCUCCCGAGUUCGAUGCUUUCUUCGACUCUAUUGGGGCUAACUUCGAUACGCUCCCGACUGAUAGGGAGCCUGCCGGGUUGGACCAGUUUUUGAGAGCUUCGCGGAUGUGUAACGGGUGCCUCCACAUAAUGAAUGAAGCCCUUGCUGCGAGUCGCUUGGAAGAGUAUAAAUGGAUAAGAAGCUUUAGAGUGGAGGAAUUGAGUUCUUGAUGCUACAGUUUUUGAUUGAUUAGGGGUAAUGCAAGAAGUCGCAUCAAACCUAAAGUCUUGUUGCGUCUUAUCACCUAAACACAGAAUUAGUAUUUUGAAUGCAGAAACAUUCCAAGUUUUAUUUUGCAAUCAAAAUAAUCAAAAAAGAUAAUUUAUUUCU